UACGUAGGGUGCGAGCGUUGUCCGGAAUUAUUGGGCGUAAAGAGCUCGUAGGCGGUCUGUUGCGUCUGCUGUGAAAACCCGGGGCUUAACCCCUGGCUUGCAGUGGAUACGGACAGACUAGAGGUAGGUAGGGGAGAAUGGAAUUCCCGGUGUAGCGGUGAAAUGCGCAGAUAUCGGGAGGAACACCGGUGGCGAAGGCGGUUCUCUGGGCCUUACCUGACGCUGAGGAGCGAAAGCGUGGGGAGCGAACAGG
rnacentral:rRNA from 1 species